rnacentral:lncRNA from 1 species
UGGGCGUGACUAUGGAUCCACACAGUGUGGGUGGGAAGGGGUCCACUGGCAGAAGGUCAGCAGAGGCUGAAGCCAGAACUGGUACGUGGACAUCCAAGCUUACAGAACCAGUCCUAAGGUGAGAAAACUACGGUUCUGAGAGGUGAAGUUGCUUGCCCAAGGGGACACAAUUUUAGGACAUUCAAGACUACUCUGGGUAAACGAAGACACUGGAGAAGGUCCACUUCCAAGAGAGUGACCCACUGAUCCCAAACCAUUGCAGGCUUUUUGUCUUUGUGAACUCGGACUCCUGAGUGAGGGGACGUGUGAUGGAAGACAGACAGAAAGGCAAGAGCGAAUGUGCCCACCACUUUGCUUUAGUGGACUGUCGAAAGAGAAUGAUGGUCUUGACCACUCUACCCUCCCAGUGCACUUCCAGCACAGCAUGGACAGGGGUCCCCAGGUCCCAAGCAACUGCUAGAUUCUGCAGAGGGUACCAGUGGGGGCCCUCUAACCAAGAUAAAGUCAGCCCCACAGGGCUCAUAUACCAAGGCUGCCUCACCUCCAGGCACUUCUGAGGACCAGGCGGUUAUGUAGCUCAGGGUCAGCAUUCUGCUCAAGUCCACCAGUUCAUGGAGAUGGGCUAUAGUGGGGGGAAAGUCACAAAGAAGAGGAGAGAUGAGCAGAGUGAACUGUGGGAGAGGAGACAGAUGUUGCUACAUAUCCUCAGUACCUCCGUGACAUCUGCUGUCUGGAAACGCUCCCAUCCCUGGCCUUUCAGCUCACUGUGGCACAUG